rnacentral:rRNA from 1 species
CAUGUAGGCGGCCUGUUAAGUCUGGUGUGAAAGCCCGGGGCUCAACCCCGGAAGUGCAUUGGAUACUGGCAGGCUUGAGUAUGGGAGAGGAAAGUGGAAUUCCGAGUGUAGGAGUGAAAUCCGUAGAUAUUCGGAGGAACACCAGUGGCGAAGGCGGCUUUCUGGACCAAUACUGACGCUGAGAUGCGAAAGCGUGGGGAGCAAACA